UAAUCCAAUCAGAACCUUUGAAUGUUUUAAGGGCAAAUGCACUGUCUGAACAUAUAGCAUCAUUUCGAUAUGGUCUACCGAAUAGUACAGCAUUUCAUAAUAAUGUUAGGAAAAGACGCCAAAAAAGUUCUUUGGAGUACGUAUUUCAGAGGCU